rnacentral:lncRNA from 1 species
AGAGAGUGUUUCGCCUCUAAUCACGCCAAACCCUCGUCCAGUGUAGGUGGUAAGAGACGUCGGGGACUGAGGCCUCUUCCCUUACCAGGGACCUAAAACCUUUUCUCCGGUUGGGCUAGUUCGCUCUCGGGGAAGAACUACACCUCCUACAUCCACCCUCUACCUCUCAUUUUAAGUCCCUUGUGCCUGAGCAUUUCUCUCCACGUGACUCUUAAGGUGAGAAGCCUCUUGCCCAUCCCUUUACUCCGUAAUUAACGGGUGUUGUGACCAGAUGACCAGUCUGCCCCACUACCAGGAAAAUUGGGAGUUUGGGAUACUGUAGGCAUAAGAGGAUACUGACAGAGACGUUCUGGAUGUUUUCCUGACGCUGAGAACUCCUAAACUUGCAUCCUGGCGUCUGCUAAGGUGUAUCUCUGCCUCUCCC